UACGAAGGGUGCUAGCGUUGUUCGGAAUUACUGGGCGUAAAGCGCGCGUAGGCUGUUUAUCAAGUCAGAGGUGAAAGCCCUGGGCUCAACCCAGGAACUGCCUUUGAAACUGAUAGACUUGAGUACUGGAGGGGAUAGCGGAAUUCCUAAUGUAGAGGUGAAAUUCGUAGAUAUUAGGAGGAACACCGGUGGCGAAGGCGGCUAUCUGGACAGUAACUGACGCUGAGGCGCGAAAGCGUGGGGAUCAAACAGG
rnacentral:rRNA from 1 species